GUGGUAAGAGACUGAAGAUGGUAACGUCUUCCUCAUUGCCUCUCAAGAUGCACGUUGUAAGGGAGGAAUUGUCUGAAUAAAGGCAUCGUGGAAACCGACAGAUACCACUGCGUGAAAAGAAUGAUUUGAAAAAGUAUUUACACUAGGGAAUAAUGGACUUAGUGAUGUGUUCAUGUGGAGUUUCUUUCCAGGAGGAAAAGGUAACCAAGAAGCUGGUGGUAGAAGAGGGAGAUGAGAGGAAUUUACUUCAAAAUUUCAGCUACAAAAUGUCCUUAAGAAUUGUAUGAAUCCCUCUACAGUGCUGCUGUCAAUUACCAGAAAGUUUGUAAUGGAUUUUUCUGGCUGCUGGCUGUUUUUGACUCAUAAACCAGAACAUAAGUUUAAAAGACUUUUCAUGUCUUCUGAGUCUAUGGACAAAUGAAUAGAAACUAUCAAGAGACUUCAUGCCAGACUGUGAUGAAUAGGAUGGCUAGUUGGUGUACAUGCAGCUUGCUCAAAUAGACCCCAGGACCACUAGGCUGGAGCACCUGAGGAGGGCUUAUUUAACAAAACAGGAUCCUGGAAUUGAGAGAGAACUCAUGCUGAUAUCAUGUCUGAUGGUCAUUCCUUUAGAGCAGCUGGCAUCCUGGCUUAUCACAGGGAAAUGUUGUUUUGCCAUGGUUAGGCUGAGCUCUGGCUUCCUUGGAGACCUAGGAACAGAAGCUUUUGGCAGCUGUGUGAACCUGAAAAUACCACUGUCAGGGUAAGCAAAACAAUUAUUGCCAUCAGCACAAUGACUUGCUGUACUGUUAAAACAGCACCUUUUAUUCUGAACCAAAAUUGUAUGCAAAUAAAAUAGUCAAUUAUAAAAGCUAUAAAACA
rnacentral:lncRNA from 1 species